AGUAAAAGUCGUAACAAGGUCUCCGUAGGUGAACCUGCGGAGGGAUCAUUACAAGUGACCCCGGUCUAACCACCGGGAUGUUCAUAACCCUUUGUUGUCCGACUCUGUUGCCUCCGGGGCGACCCUGCCUUCGGGCGGGGGCUCCGGGUGGACACUUCAAACUCUUGCGUAACUUUGCAGUCUGAGUAAACUUAAUUAAUAAAUUAAAACUUUUAACAACGGAUCUCUUGGUUCUGGUAUCGAUGAAGAACGCAGCGAAAUACGAUAAGUAAUGUGAAUUGCAGAAUUCAGUGAAUCAUCGAAUCUUUGAACGCACAUUGCGCCCCCUGGUAUUCCGGGGGGCAUGCCUGCUCGAGCGUCAUUUCACCACUCAAGCCUCGCUUGGUAUUGGGCAACGCGGUCCGCCGCGUGCCUCAAAUCGACCGGCUGGGUCUUCUGUCCCCUAAGCGUUGUGGAAACUAUUCGCUAAAGGGUGCUCGGGAGGCUACGCCGUAAAACAAACCCAUUUCUAAGGUUGGCCUCGGAUCAGGUAGGGAUACCCGCUGAACUUAAGCAUAUCAAUAAGCGGAGGA
rnacentral:rRNA from 1 species